GAUAAAGGACUCUGCUCUUCUCGGCUUGUGCAUACUUUCAUGCUCGAAUGAGAAGAUCGGUGUAAUCCUUUGAACAAUUUUUUAUUGAAGAAGAAGAUCAGACAUUCAUCUUUGAGUCCUUGCUUCAUUAUUGAUAUGGCAACAGGCUCAUUAAAGUCAUGAACUUUAAGUAUGACAGUAUUGAAAUACGCUACGUAAUCUCUUAGUAAUUCUCCUUCUCUUUGUUCAAUAGAUAAAAGACUGUCAUUGUUCUUCAGCUGUGGCCUCUGGUUGUCGAAGUGCAUGAUGAACUAUUUUUUUAGUUGUUCGAAGAAAUGGAUUGAUCCUUGGAGGAGGCUGGAGAAUCAAACUCUCACACUCUUCUUAUGAGUUGCUGAGAAGGUGAGGCAGAGGAGGGCAUUGGAUGCCCCCUACAAUAUCAUGAGGGCUUUGUAUCCUUCCAAGUGAUCGAGCGGAUUGGUCGUGCCAUCACAAGGCUCAACCUGCUGCAUCUUGAACCGAUGAGAGAUCAAUUCACUUAGAAUUUCUUAAGAGACUGGCGAGUGAGUGUUGAAGCUGAAACCGUCAUUCUUCUAAUGACUUCUCGUCUAAAAUUUGCCAAUUCGACGUUCCAACUCUUGAACUUUUCUCUUAAGGUCAUCUUCAUGUAAAGAAUAAUGCCGGC
rnacentral:lncRNA from 1 species